CAUGCAGUCGAGGGGCAUCGGGAUUGAAGCUUGCUUCAAUUGCCGGCGACCGGCGCACGGGUGCGUAACGCGUAUGUAACCUACCUAUAACAGGGGCAUAACACUGAGAAAUUGGUACUAAUUCCCCAUAAUAUUCGGAGAGGCAUCUCUCCGGGUUGAAAACUGCGGUGGUUAUAGAUGGACAUGCGUUGUAUUAGCUAGUUGGUGAGGUAACGGCUCACCAAGGCAACGAUACAUAGGGGGACUGAGAGGUUAACCCCCCACACUGGUACUGAGACACGGACCAGACUCCUACGGGAGGCAGCAGUGAGGAAUAUUGGUCAAUGGACGCAAGUCUGAACCAGCCAUGCCGCGUGCAGGAAGACGGCUCUAUGAGUUGUAAACUGCUUUUGUACGAGGGUAAACUCACCUACGAGUAGGUGACUGAAAGUAUCGUACGAAUAAGGACCGGCUAACUCCGUGCCAGCAGCCGCGGUAAUACGGAGGAUUCAAGCGUUAUCCGGAUUUAUUGGGUUUAAAGGGUGCGUAGGCGGUUUGAUAAGUUAGAGGUGAAAUCCCGGGGCUUAACUCCGGAACUGCCUCUAAUACUGUUAGACUAGAGAGUAGUUGCGGUAGGCGGAAUGUAUGGUGUAGCGGUGAAAUGCUUAGAGAUCAUACAGAACACCGAUUGCGAAGGCAGCUUACCAAACUAUAUCUGACGUUGAGGCACGAAAGCGUGGGGAGCAAACAGGAUUAGAUACCCUGGUAGUCCACGCAGUAAACGAUGAUAACUCGUUGUCGGCGAUACACAGUCGGUGACUAAGCGAAAGCGAUAAGUUAUCCACCUGGGGAGUACGUUCGCAAGAAUGAAACUCAAAGGAAUUGACGGGGGCCCGCACAAGCGGAGGAACAUGUGGUUUAAUUCGAUGAUACGCGAGGAACCUUACCCGGGCUUGAAAGUUACUGACGAUUCUGGAAACAGGAUUUCCCUUCGGGGCAGGAAAC
rnacentral:rRNA from 1 species